UUCGGCCCCGCAGCCCUUGGACGCCCAGCGCCGCGCACCGCCCGCCCCACAAGAGCGCUGUCCCGCGGCGGGGCGGAGGAGGCCGGGGGCCCGGGGAGCGGGUGCCGUUUUUGGAGCAUUGUGCCCGGUGCUAGAGGAACCAGGACGGCUGAGACGUUUUCUGCACGCUGGGAAUUUACUGAGAGGUGGACUUUCCUUAUAAUAUAGAUGAAAUUCUGAUCAUUAAAGGGAGGUGAUGAUGUAAUUUUGACUGUCCACACACUUACUGAAGUGGCAAGGCAUAAACAGUCACAGGAGUGGUGUGCCCUGAGUCCUGCUACCUUUGGAGCAGUUUGUAUUUAGAGUGACCUUUACGAAUGAAGGGUGGCAUCUACUGCAGAUUGAUUCUUCCCUAUUUCCCUUUUACAAGCAACCUUAUUUUGAAAUGCCCGGGGCAGCUGCCUCCUGCGCUGUGUUCGUUUUUGUAGUUCAGGGCCCUCUGUGAAUAUCUAGGCUUUUGUGUUGUACCUAGGUCUCUCUCCAGGAGUUGCAUAACAUUUUUGACUGCUUUUGUCAGCUAAAAUUAUCCUUCUAGAAAUGAGAAUAUUUAAGGUGAUUUGAUUCCAUCUGUGGUUGAGGUGUUAGAAUCAUUGUUGCUUUCAGGGAAACUUUUUCAAUUAGUAUUCUGUUCCAUAGGGAUAAGACCUCUGAAUAUAUCUCUAAACAAGAUUCCCAAGUAAUUUAAAGUGAUACCUUGCUAAGGCAAGCAGAUUGUUCCAUUGUUUGAAAAAGUAAAUAAUAGCCAAAAUUAGGAGCUAUGACAUACUGGGUAGAUGCCAGAAUGUGGAUUAUGGUCUGUUCAUUUUCAUGUUCCUUGCUCCUGAUACAGUGACAGCAUGUAAUA